rnacentral:misc_RNA from 1 species
GAUGAAGAACGUAGCGAAAUGCGAUAAGUAAUGUGAAUUGCAGAAUUCAGUGAAUCAUCGAAUCUUUGAACGCAUCUUGCGCUCCUUGGUAUUCCUUGGAGCAUGCCUGUUUGAGUAUCAUGAGCAAAUCUCAAAGUCAAUUCCUUUUGUUGAUUCAAUUGGUUUUGCUUUGGACUUGGAGGCCUUGCAGAUUUCACAGUCUGCUCCUCUUAAAUGCAUUAGCUGGAUCUCAGUAAUUAUGCUUGGUUCCACUCGGCGUGAUAAGUAUCACUCGCUGAGGACACUGUUAAAAAGGUGGCCAGGAAAAUACUGAUUGAACCGCUUCUAACGGUCUAUUAAGUUAGACAAUUACCCUUAAGUUUGAUCUCAAAUCAGGUAGGACUACCCGCUGAACUUAAGCAUAUCAAUACGGAGGA